AAGGCCUUGAAGCACCAGAGGAGGAGGGAGAAGAAAGGAAGCGCUGGUGGGAGCUGAAGUCAGGUUGGUUUCCUUCCUGACCUCACCCACGCUCUCCCACUCUUCCUGUCUGUGCUCAGCUGCCGCCCAGGCAGGGGCUGCUAAGGAUUGCUGGGCGACUCUCUGAGAAUCUGUGGCUGUUUCCUGGGAACCAUUGCCCCUCCUUGCCAUCCUGUUGAGUUAUAGGGGCAGCGGCAGGAGGCUCUUAUGUGAAGCAGGAGCUGAACACACAGGAAAUGGUGCCUUAAGGGAGUGAAGGUCAUGAAGGUUGAUGAGGUCAGGAGGUUGAUGAGAUGGAAAACCAGGAAAAAGACCUCGAGUCCUAAAAUCACCAGUGUAACAUCUCUAGGCCAGGCAGAAGUCUAGGAUGAGAAUUCAGCUCAGCUCACGACUUGAUUUCAACCUUGUGAAGCCUUGAGCAGAGAACCCAGCUUUACCAGGAGAGGAUUCUGAUCUGUACAACUAUGAGAGAAUA